CCUACGGGUGGCUGCAGUAGGGAAUAUUGCACAAUGGGGGAAACCCUGAUGCAGCAACGCCGCGUGGAUGAUGAAGGAUCUCGGUUCGAAAACCCCUAUCGGUAGAGAAGAUAAUGACGGUAUCUAACGAAUAAGCACCGGCUAACUACGUGCCAGCAGCCGCGGUAAUACGGAGGGGGCAAGCGUUAUCCGGAAUCACUGGGCGUAAAGAGCGCGUAGGCGGGAUAGCAAGUCAGAUGUGAAAUCCUAUGGCUUAACCCCAGAACUGCAUUUGAAACUGUUAUUCUAGAGUAUGGGAGAGGUAGGUGGAAUUCCUGGUGUAGGGGUAAAAUGCGUAGAGAUCAAGAGGAAUACUCAUUGCGAAGGCGACCUGCUAGAACAUAACUGACGCUGAUGCGCGAAAGCGUGGGGAGCAAACAGGAUUAGAUACCCCAGUAGUC
rnacentral:rRNA from 1 species